GGACAGAUAAGGCAACACAUCGUUUUGAUAUGCUAAUGAAGGGAUAAUGAGUUAUGACGUCAUAAUAUACGCCCCGCCUCUGUAUUACCAUAUAUAGAAUAUAUACCAAAAACAGCAGUUUAAGCAUAAAAUACGGCUGAUUUAAUACUUCAUAAGCAAAAUAUAACUACGAAUCACUCAUGUGUGUUUUUAUAAGUUUACAACAAUCAGAAUAUACGAAGAAUUUCCAUAACGCAUCUGUCGUAUGGGUGUGAAUCUGCGUCCCAAAAGCGCUCGUCAGACGAUGUAAACACGUGUAGCUGGUAUUCCCGAUGAUGGCGAUCUUUUGAUGAUUUAUCAGAGUAAUUUGAAAAGUGUCACACUGAUUUGAAAAAAAAAGGCUGGAAGAAAAUCUGGUACCUGCUUUGUCUUGAGAUUUACAAUGAUGUUCUUAUUGGUGAUCAUUUACCCGCACCCUUAUCCUGGUGUCAUAUACAAGAUGAAAUGAUGGAAAGAAAAACCUGAACUUUAGAAACAGGAAGACUGUGUUUUUGAAGAGAGAAGAGGACCAGAACUAAGAAGUCAUACAAUAAACACAUUGACAUCAUAAAAAGAAAUUGCAAUUUUGAGUUUGCAUGCAUAUGUCAGGUUUAAAUGUUGGCACAGAAUUUUUUUUCAGAAAGUCCCUUUUAAUAUCUUCUUGAAUUAAUAAAACAAAUGAACCAAAUAUAAUUGUUUAUAUAUAUAUAAUUUUGUUUGAGAAGUGGAAAGGGGAUGGUAUGUAAAUGGGCGGGAGAGAGAGUCUCUCACAUAGGAGAAUUCAUACUUAUUUAAAUUCAAUAUAUUGAUGUGAACCAAAAAUGGCUUUUGAUCGCCUUAAUUGUUGUAGGAUUUACACACUCUCUUUCCUUUCUAGGUAAUGAGAAAUGAGCGUUUAGAAUUUAUUUUGUGAAUGAAUAGAUAUGCUAACCCUCCCCCUCUCCUUAAUCUUAAUCAUUCUGCAUGUGUUGAAUAAAAAUAAAAGUCAAUUUUAAUGAGUGUUUAAAUUACAAGUGAAACAUGUGUAAUACAAAGGUGAAUACUGUUGAUUGCUUAUGGGGGAUGGGAAAAGGCCUCAUACAUGGGCAGAUCUACAUGUAUAGUCCCCGUGGCAAAUUCUAAUUUAAUUCACAAUUUACAUAGUAAAACACCAUGGUACCUGGCCCCUUGCAAACAGAAUAAAGUUACCCCUUUGAACCCCCUCCCCAGAAUAACAGACCCAAGCAGUGCUAUAGAAUAUGCAGUCAUUGGGCAAAGGCUGCACAUAAAUAAUGAAAAAAAUGCUCCAUAUCUUAUUUUUUAAUAUAUAUUAUGAGAACAAUUUAGUUAGUUUAUCAAUAUCAGGGGCUUCAUUUGUCUCUGUUGACAUCUAAUCCCUCAAAUAAUUGUGUACAAUUAGCUCUUAUAUAUUUUUCUCCCAUUACUAACAAAAUAUUAAGAAACCAAUAACUCCGCGAAUGCGGUUAACCAAGAGAACUGACACACAACGGUUUUUUGUUUACAUCCAUGAUACAACAGAGGAAAUGCGGACGAUUUAUCGUAACCAUCGUUUCUCUUUUGAAAUAAAUAAAACAGAAGCACUAUGUUUAAAUAACCAUUUACAUAAUGUACUGUUGAAACAUAUCCUAAAAUUAAUUCGGAUUAUGUGAUAAAAUGACAUCGCGCCUAUUUUAAAAGAGUUAUCGCUCAAAGAGUUACCUCCCCUUUUGGGAUCACUUGUGCGUUUGAAAUGUGUAUUGAUUUGAGAGGACUUAUAGAUUGAGAAAUUAAAUGCAAAAGUUCAAGUGCAAGACGGCUAUAGAUAUUAUUAAACUUGGUAUGAUUUUCUUCCCUUUUACGAGUUCUUUAUAAAAACUGAUGCUCAUUUGUUGAGAGAUGAAGGUUUACUUUGUAAUUGCAAUGAAAAUAUACAAAAAUGCACUAUUUUAGGAACAAGUAGCCAGUUUUUAAAGAAAUUUUCAUAAUUAGUAAACUGAAUG